rnacentral:rRNA from 1 species
UACGAAGGGGGCUAGCGUUGUUCGGAAUUACUGGGCGUAAAGCGUGCGCAGGCGGCUAUCCAAGUCAGUGGUGAAAGCCCGGAGCUCAACUCCGGAACUGCCAUUGAAACUGGUUGGCUCGAGUACGAGAGAGGUGAGUGGAAUUCCCAGUGAUAGAGGUGAAAUUCGUAGAUAUUGGGAAGAACACCGGUGGCGAAGGCGGCUCACU